ACUAUAAAUACACCUCUGAGUUUUUAUGACAUCAAGUUGCCUUGAUUUACUGCAGUGUCUCUGCAACCCUAUGCAGUACUGCUUGUAAUUCAAAGCUGUUCAUUGUAAUACAUAAUAAACAUUUUACUUUUCCAUCUUUGCUCUGUCUCAAAUGGUUAAUGAAUAUAAAUUGAAGAUGAAUACUGGCAAUUUUUAAAAUACAUAUGAUAUUUUUUUUUUCUAAAUUUUGUUUAACUUUUGUAGGUUCCAAUCUCAAGGCUAUAUGAGGAAUUUUCCCACAUGUCUGCAUUGCUUUGUCUGUAGUGACUUUUACUCCAACAUGACGAAAACACCAAAAUAAACAAUCUGGAGAAUUAAGGGCCAUGGUUGUUCUCAAUCCCAAACGAUUCUUCUUGCAUCCCCCCAGGGGUAACUGCACCUGCUGCUUC
rnacentral:lncRNA from 1 species